rnacentral:tRNA from 1 species
GGAGGGUAUAGCUCAGUGGUAGAGUGCCUGCUUAGCAUGCAUGAGGUCCUGGGUUCAAUCCCCAGUACCUCCU